AAAUACUAGGUGAUUAACCUUUUGAUAAUUUUACCCCUCUCGAAUUGGUUAAAAUUAAUGUAUGGGAACAAAAUAUCCAAUCUGAAAGCUAAAAUACAAAAUUCAAAGAUAGCACAAAUUAAUGUUACAGAUGCAGUUAAUUUGAUUCAAUAAGUCUAAACACCCCCACCGUGUUACAUGACCAUUGCACCAUCGUUCACUGGAGGAACCAAGUGAAAGAGCAGUGAAGCACCCCCAUUGGAAAUUAAAACAACUUAAAACCUAAAAAUAUUAGGUGUAAUAGCAUGAAAGAAGUAGGAUUGAUAGUUGAUCUAGCACUCUCACCCGAUCGUUUCUUUCUCCCAUUUUCCACGAAUUCAUUCUUGCCGUCUAACUUCCUUCGUGCCUCUCUUGGCACUGUGGUCCUUAUACUACUCGUAUAAUUUGUCAACACAUUGGUCAAAUGCAAAUCAUAUCAGGAUUGUGUAUUCCAUAUACGCAAAUCUAGACAACAAUAAUGCCAAUGUUUUUAAUUAGUCCUAUAGCCUUUGGCAAGCUGACCACAACUUCUACUUCAUGGAUAUAUUGACUAAUUAUUCUAUCUCUAUCUCUAUCUCCCCGUACCAGUGUUCGACUAAUUCCAAUCUAACCAACUUUGACUCUCUUUGUUCAUAUUUCUAAUGACCAUAAACCACUACUCCUGUAAUACAUAAAUCGCAAGUAAUCAAUUUACUCAGCAGUUCAAAACAGUUGUGUAAUAGGAUCUUAGCACAUGAGAUCUUAUUAGUAGAGACGGAUUUGUCUUGAUGCGAGCUGCCAUUUUAUUGCCUUUUGGGGUUAUGUCGUUCAGUCAAAGGAAAGCGACUCAUUACUGAUUAGCCAAGGGAAAGGUUGAGUGUGUAUACGGGUCUGGGGAACAAGUGCAUUUCGUGUUACCCGUGUAAAAAUCAUCAGAGAAUAUGUGGCUCCAAUUGCCUUGACAAACAUCGGAGAUCUUUUAAAGUUCAAUUACAUACGCCAACAUGGCGAUGAAUGAUGAAAAGGUGAUGUUUCCCCUGAUGGGAGAACCUUCUCUACUAUAAUAAUAGCACAACUUGCCCUGGCCCACCUUCUGACCCACCCUUUUUACGUAUAAAAGCGCUGUCAUGGCCUUUCCUGACGUUGCACUGCAUUAUGGUCGGCGUCUGGCUUGGUAUUUCUAUGCAACAUUGCUAAAUUUGGAAAUUUGGCAUGUUGGUCAAUUCUAACAACCAUCAGUCUCCCUUAUAUCAAAGGAUUAGGAGUCGCUAAUUCAUUCUCUUUGGAAUCUAAGUUCAUUAUGUAUGUAAGUUUGGCCCUCUCUAAUUCAUUCUUUUUCAACCUCUUAUUUUUAAUAAUUUAUAAGCAAAGCUUGUUAUUAAACAAAGAAAGUAAGCGCAAAGGUCUACACAAGAGAACAAGGAAAAAAGAGUUGCCCGAGCCUUUAGUUUAGUCGGUCCAACCACCAAAGUUUAGAUAGCGUUGUCGUGUAAACUCUAAUGCAAAAUAGGUUAGGUACCUGACCUGAGCGUAAAGUCAGUGUUUCUCAUUUGAUCAUAACUUGAAGCUUCCCCCACAAUGGCAUCGGUUCGCAUGCCCUAGAGAGAAUAUCAUGGAAACAAGAAACAUAUCCACAUCACAAACUCAACCAGAAGUAAAACCGAUUAAAACUGGCCAUUCCUUGUUUGAAGGUGUUGGCGUGCGAUACUGUGGCAAGCUCAACAUCAAGUUAAAAAAAGGGCAAGUAAUGUACCAACGUAGGAACCGUAUUAACAUUCCUAUAUUACGGGUAGCAGUUUGUGCACGAAUGCAUUACAAGAGGCGGAACUUGUAAUUGACAAGUUAGGAAGAUUGCACAAAAGCGGCCCCGAUCCCGGUAGGAGGCAUAUUCCUUUGAAUGGAUUACUUAGGAAGAUUGCACAAAAGCGGCCCCGACCACGGGCAUCAUAGCCCUUAUGAUCCUUUGGGAAGCAUAAUAACGGGUUGGAUUGAGAAGGAUGCACCUAAAGGUGUUCUCACUCAAUGGUAAUC
rnacentral:lncRNA from 1 species